GCAGAUGCCGAGGGAAGGUCCUGGGGCACGGCGUCUCUGGGAGGCCAAGGGGCGCGUUGUGGACGGAGCAGGGGUGGGGGUGACCGCGGUGGCCUGCUGCCUGCCUGCUGGCCCACAGGGCCAGAGCGUGGCAGGCGGUUUAUGCAGUCAUUCGGAGAUCAGGGGAUUAUCGUUAAUUCUCUUAGGGAUAGAUGAGGGUGUGGUGUUUAUUCCCCGAGGACGCCUGGGUCCGGGGAAUUCAAGUGGCCUCGUCCGACCAGGGCCACGAGGCUCAGAUGAAACAGAACUGAUUCAUAAGAACGUGUGGCCAACAAACAAAUGCGGGAAGGACGUGAAUGGCUACUUCUCGCGGGGGAGGCACGCAGAUGUGGGCUUUGCUCCAGAAAGGGACUUGACCCUGAGGCCGCCCCUUCUGCCCGCGCUUCCAGGGCAAGGAACGCGGUCGAUGCUUCUGGUUUGUAACCAGCUAAGAUGAGGAAACGACACCGACACCGUGGCGAACGAGGACGCCUCUCCUCCAGGAGGCUGCCCUCGGCUGUGACCUUCCCAGGAGACAGAAUGUUUCUGUCUUUUGCCCACAGUCCUCCGAGGGUCUCCACUCACCACCCGCUCCGCCGUGUUUCCUCCCUCAAGCCCUGGCCCGCUCUUCCCGAGUGUCCUGCCAGGCCACUGGCACCCUGAACCACAGCUGGACGGCCCUGGAAGGAGCCGGAAGCCACAACACCCACCCCAGCACAGGCCAUUUGGCUGAGAAGACACACGAGACACAGCUGCUCCCUGCUCCACCCGUGGGUCUAGAACAAGGACAGAAAUGCCAUGGGUAAAGGCUCCCCUCUCCCGGGCCAGGAAGAGGAGGGGUCGUGCUAGACCCUUGCCCGCCCUUGUGGGCACCGUGACCUCCUUGGUUCCCCAACCUCUACCCACCAGGUUUGCUGCCCUAAAAGCCUAAGUCCCUCCCUCUGGGUCACCACCCCGCUGCCAAUGUUCUGUUCUUCGUGGUGCUGGUGAGGCCGGUCCCAAUGCCAGGAGCCUCUCCUGCGAUGGGGGGCCCUCCACUGCUAGCAGACUCCGGGGUUUCCACGUGCCUCGGUGUGGGCGCACGUGCACCUGCAGGGCCCCGCCUGGAACCCGGGGGGAGGCGGGGAGAGAACCCGGACGGGAGGGAAGAGAACCCGGUGGUGGGGGGAGACGCACGUGCCGCGGUGUGGCCGCAGGUGAACUUCAGGGCCCCCCCUGGAACCCGGGGUGGGGGAGAAGCUUUUUCCCCUUGCUCCACCCUCCACACGGGCAUCCUAAGGGUGUUCCUGUGGGGUGUUGGGAAGUGUGAGCAGGUGAUACCGAGUCUGUCCCACAGGAGCCUCAGCCCGGUCCAGGCUCCAACUGUGCUCACGGCACUGGUGCGGCCGCUCAGCCCGCAGACGGCCCGCCCUGCGCAGCCUGGCUCACAAGCCACGUCCUCCGCGGCUGGGCCGUGGUGUCUCCGUGAUGCCCCCGUGAGGCCCUUCCUGGGCACCUGCUAUCAGGAGACUGGCAGAGUAAGGCGCGGGGGAGCUUGAGACACACAGGCCAACGUCAGCAAGCUUGGGGUGGGGGGAAGUAAUCCCGCCCGCCCCGCCCCGCGGCUCGGCUGCAGAGGGUCCGCCUAGUGGGGGAUCCUCGGGAACGUCCCCUGUCUCCCGUCUCCUUCUGUUCCUGACAUGUGCCUCCCUGAACCCCUUUCUCAAUGUCGGUUAAUAAUUUUAUGCAUAAAUGUUGCAUUUUUCCUAAUGGAAAAUGGCACGUGCGUAGAUAAAUGCAUCUUACUAUCGGGAAGAGAGAGGAUACAAUGGUAAAAUCAUGAGUGAGUGUCUGAAGGAGCUUUUUAGUACAAAAGUAAACGAUUUUCCAGCUCCACCAAGUUGGGCACCUUCUCUUCAGUGAGAAACGCCUAUUGGCCACACUCCCAACAGAAGCUUCGUCAACGGGCGGAAACCAGGAGCCACGCUCUCACCGUGUCCUCGGAAGUGUCUCCGCAGAGCCUGGGUCCGCAGCGGGACUCAGCGGCCGCCCCAGUCCGAGGCACAGGUGUGGGCGUCUUGGGCACAGCGGUGGUGCUGGGCUCCGCCCCUCGUCUAGGCCUGGCACCUGCUGUCGUCCACAGACGGCGUGCCUUCCCGAAGUCUCCUCUACCCUGUGUGCAGACAGCGAGAGCAACAGGCUGUCGGUGAAGCAGACACAGGAAACAGUCACUAGGCCCGUGCAGAGCUUUGUGUGUGUGUAUUAGCACGUCCAGGGUUCUCUCGGAGUUGCUGACAUUUAAAAAACCUGAUAUGCAUUUCAUUAGUUUUCUUUUGCCUUCUCUCAGAGACUUCCAAGUCUCAGAAAAGCAGAUUUCGCGUCUCAAACUGCGAGUGCGCUUGUAAAUCACACGCCCACCACGGUGGGUAGCUUGCUCUUUUGUGCUUCGGUUGGUUGUGUGCUUGUUCGGUUGGUUGGUUCGCGUGUGGUUGGCUGGACGGCUGGUUGCUGUUCUUUUGUUUCCUGGACUCCAGUUGCUGAAUUAAUCACGCUGCUCACUCCUUCCCAUGUGACCACACUCAGUCUGUACACGGCCUUUUCUCUUGCUCAUUGUCUUUCGUACCAAUAGACUAGGAUUUGAUUUUCCAGAUCUGCCCAAGGGCUUUGCUUCCUCUCCCUUCUCCUCAUCAUCGUGAGUUGCGAGUUUAUGCCUCUAAAGAAGCCCCCUUACGGGGCAGUCACUGAGCCCAAGGGCCUUGGUGGCAAUUCCCGAGCAGGAGGGUCAGGGAGAGACGCGAAGGUGGAGGCUGGUCUCUGUGUGUAGAGCACUGCAAGAGCUGCUGACCCGGAAUGCCAGGGCAACCAGCCGGUGAGGCCCAGCUUGUUUCAGACGACAAGCUGUGUGGCGGAGCGCUUUCCAUGUGGCCCUCCUCUGGUCUGUGAAGUUGCAAUCAGGUUCGAGCAAACUGCUCCUUCUGUGUAUUUUCCCCUCCCGGACAACCAACAGAAAAACUGGUACAAUUAUAUUUUUCAUAGUUUCCUUUCCACCUGCACUGAAGACAUUCAGGUGACCUUCUGUGGAAGGACUCCCAGUCAGGACAAAAAUAGGAAACAGAGGCCAGCCCGUUGCCAGGCCGCAUGCACCACCUGCCCCCAGCGCACGAAUGUUUGCACAAAGUCCUGCUCUCAGGGGCACAUUUGCGUGGACAGUCAAGCAUCCCCUGUGUCCAUUUUAGACCUCCCAUGGGUCUCUGAGCCUCUCGCUACAUUUUAUUUUCUCCAUUGAAGAAAACAAGACAUGAAAUUGUAAAGGUUUAAAGUCCGACCCAAAGCGUUUCUGCGCUUGGGUUAAUUUGUCCCACCUGACGAUCCUCAGUGGCAGGAAGAUGGAAAACCAAAGCCCACGGUCACGCAUGGCCACGGGCAUCCUGCCUCCAACCCUCAGGGUCUCAGCACCUCCAACGGGUGAGCACACAGUAGGAGCUUACUCAGUGCAGCCUGCCCUGUACAGGCGACAGCACGUGAGUGGGCGGGGCGCUGGGGUCCCGCGGGGAUCAGGAGACCGCCCCCCCCCACCGUGCGUGCAGGUACCCAGCACACCGCAUGCAGUGGGAAGAGCUGGAUGGCCCCCCGCACCUGGGACGGCACCCAGGCCCCGCCCAGCUGGGCCACUGCUCCAGCCAUCUCUCGGGCAUGAGGUCGCCCUGCUCUUGACGGAAGGAUCGGUGUCCCCGGCAGGGUCUGAACACCGCAGGCACCUCCUCACUGCGACAGCUCCACGACGUGGCCCCUGGGAGGUGAGCCUUGCCAGCUCUACGUGCCACCCUCAGCCACGCACCAAGGGCGGGGGCUCCAUACUUCACAGGCCAGAGACGUGGCGGCUGCCCCUCGUCCCCUCUGCUGGGAGGCGCCUGCGGCCCCUGCGGAGCUUUCUCCUGGGUCUCUGGGCAUUCGGCACCUCGGGCCAGCCCUCUUCUCCAAUUGUUCUCCACCCGCUACAGGCUGCCCCCUGUCCCCCAAAGCCCACGCUGAAGGCCCGUCCCAAGUGUGACUGUAUUUGCAGGUGGGGUCUUUGAGGAACCAGAGAGUGAGGUCACAGGGUGGGGCCGGGGCCCCUGGGCUGGUGUCCUUGUGCGCAGAGGAGGGACGACAGACCCCCUGUCCCUGAACUCGGGCCUGGACGAGGGCUCACCGCACACCAGCCGCACCUCGGCUGCCAGGGCUGUGAGGAACAGACACCGGCCUCCCUGCCAUGGUGUCUUGGCCGGGACAGCAAGAGGCUGAGAGCCCUUCCCCGUGGGGCCCUCUUCCUUCGCCUCUUCCUUAGCUGCUGGCCUCCUCCGCAGGCCCCUCCGCUCUGCUCCUGCACCCCACGGGCCUCCUCACUCCAGCCUGGGCGUCCUCUCCCUCGCCACGCACCCGCGCCCACGCAUCCACACUGAGUCAAGUUCAGUGGAAUUGUGAGACACAAGCCACAUUUUAUUAAUGGACAGAACAUGCCGGAAAGUCCCAUUUGUCUUUUGUCAGUUUGCCAAGUGUACGGCAGCCAAAUAACAAGACCAUUAAAAGCAGCUCUUAUGUCACAA